rnacentral:rRNA from 1 species
UGCAGAAUCCCGCGAACCAUCGAGUCUUUGAACGCAAGUUGCGCCCGAGGCCACUCGGCCGAGGGCACGCCUGCCUGGGCGUCACGC